rnacentral:sRNA from 2 species
UUUUUAGUUUUCUAGGGUUCCGCGGCGCAUUCAGGCCGGCAGGUCCGAGGGAAAACGCACGGAAUUAUAGUUCCGUGUCUACACGGAGGGAUAAAAGCCCGGGAGGU